CCAUUUAAGCUCAGAUGUGGGCCAUUGCUACUUUCUUGUGCUUUGCCGGUAAUCUGUUUGUCCUUCUGUCUUUCUGUUCAUCUGACUUCAUCCCCUGGCUGGACCUUAGGCUUGCAUUGCAGGACCCUGCCUCAUUCAGAGUGCAGGAUGAACAGUGCUUAGAAUGAAUCAGCACAACACAGUGAAAGAGUCUGUUGUUUGCAGGACUCAUCUCAGUUGUUGAGGAAGUUGGAAUAUGUGUUUUGAAUGAGUUGGGAUGUCAAGAAAAGAAAGGAUGAUCUUGUAGCUGAGGCAACCCUGGAGAAUGGGUUUCUGUCACUGCCUUUGCCAAAAAGAUUCUGUGAGGAAGGUUCUGGGGGAGAAAAGACAUAACUUCUCUCAGGUAUCUAUUAACAGCAAACAUGUAAUUUUCUUAGAAAUCUGAGGGUGUGGCUUCACACGAUGUUGAUCCAAUGGGGAAAAAAAAA